GAUGAACGCUGGCGGCGUGCCUAAUACAUGCAAGUCGAGCGAACGGACGAGAAGCUUGCUUUUCUGAUGUUAGCGGCGGACGGGUGAGUAACACGUGGAUAACCUACCUAUAAGACUGGGAUAACUUCGGGAAACCGGAGCUAAUACCGGAUAAUAUUUUGAACCGCAUGGUUCAAAAGUGAAAGACGGUCUUGCUGUCACUUAUAGAUGGAUCCGCGCUGCAUUAGCUAGUUGGUAAGGUAACGGCUUACCAAGGCAACGAUGCAUAGCCGACCUGAGAGGGUGAUCGGCCACACUGGAACUGAGACACGGUCCAGACUCCUACGGGAGGCAGCAGUAGGGAAUCUUCCGCAAUGGGCGAAAGCCUGACGGAGCAACGCCGCGUGAGUGAUGAAGGUCUUCGGAUCGUAAAACUCUGUUAUUAGGGAAGAACAUAUGUGUAAGUAACUGUGCACAUCUUGACGGUACCUAAUCAGAAAGCCACGGCUAACUACGUGCCAGCAGCCGCGGUAAUACGUAGGUGGCAAGCGUUAUCCGGAAUUAUUGGGCGUAAAGCGCGCGUAGGCGGUUUUUUAAGUCUGAUGUGAAAGCCCACGGCUCAACCGUGGAGGGUCAUUGGAAACUGGAAAACUUGAGUGCAGAAGAGGAAAGUGGAAUUCCAUGUGUAGCGGUGAAAUGCGCAGAGAUGUGGAGGAACACCAGUGGCGAAGGCGACUUUCUGGUCUGUAACUGACGCUGAUGUGCGAAAGCGUGGGGAUCAAACAGGAUUAGAUACCCUGGUAGUCCACGCCGUAAACGAUGAGUGCUAAGUGUUAGGGGGUUUCCGCCCCUUAGUGCUGCAGCUAACGCAUUAAGCACUCCGCCUGGGGAGUACGACCGCAAGGUUGAAACUCAAAGGAAUUGACGGGGGCCCGCACAAGCGGUGGAGCAUGUGGUUUAAUUCGAAGCAACGCGAAGAACCUUACCAAAUCUUGACAUCCUUUGACAACUCUAGAGAUAGAGCCUUCCCCUUCGGGGGACAAAGUGACAGGUGGUGCAUGGUUGUCGUCAGCUCGUGUCGUGAGAUGUUGGGUUAAGUCCCGCAACGAGCGCAACCCUUAAGCUUAGUUGCCAUCAUUAAGUUGGGCACUCUAAGUUGACUGCCGGUGACAAACCGGAGGAAGGUGGGGAUGACGUCAAAUCAUCAUGCCCCUUAUGAUUUGGGCUACACACGUGCUACAAUGGACAAUACAAAGGGCAGCGAAACCGCGAGGUCAAGCAAAUCCCAUAAAGUUGUUCUCAGUUCGGAUUGUAGUCUGCAACUCGACUACAUGAAGCUGGAAUCGCUAGUAAUCGUAGAUCAGCAUGCUACGGUGAAUACGUUCCCGGGUCU
rnacentral:rRNA from 1 species